rnacentral:rRNA from 1 species
GACGAAAGAUGGAGGAGGGAGGAACACAUGCAAGUCGAACGGAAAGGCCCUGCUUUUGUGGGGUGCUCGAGUGGCGAACGGGUGAGUAACACGUGAGUAACCUGCCCUUGACUUUGGGAUAACUUCAGGAAACUGGGGCUAAUACCGGAUAGGAGCUCCUGCUGCAUGGUGGGGGUUGGAAAGUUUCGGCGGUUGGGGAUGGACUCGCGGCUUAUCAGCUUGUUGGUGGGGUAGUGGCUUACCAAGGCUUUGACGGGUAGCCGGCCUGAGAGGGUGACCGGCCACAUUGGGACUGAGAUACGGCCCAGACUCCUACGGGAGGCAGCAGUGGGGAAUAUUGCACAAUGGGCGGAAGCCUGAUGCAGCAACGCCGCGUGCGGGAUGACGGCCUUCGGGUUGUAAACCGCUUUCGCCUGUGACGAAGCGUGAGUGACGGUAAUGGGUAAAGAAGCACCGGCUAACUACGUG